GAUUAACGCUAGCGGCAGGCAUAAUACAUGCAAGUUGAACGGCAGCACAGGUAGCAAUACUGGGUGGCGAGUGGCGCACGGGUGCGUAACACGUAUGCAACCUACCCUAUACAGGCGAAUAACCUUUAGAAAUGAGGGCUAAUACGCCGUAGUAUUACAGAUGGGCAUCUAUUUGUAAUUAAAGAUUUAUCGGUAUAGGAUGGGCAUGCGUCCCAUUAGUUAGUUGGUAAGGUAACGGCUUACCAAGACGAUGAUGGGUAGGGGAUCUGAGAGGACUUACCCCCACACUGGUACUGAGACACGGACCAGACUCCUACGGGAGGCAGCAGUAAGGAAUAUUGGGCAAUGGCCGCGAGGCUGACCCAGCCAUGCCGCGUGCAGGAAGACGGCCUUAUGGGUUGUAAACUGCUUUUAUACGGGAAUAAUAGAGUGUACGCGUACAUUUAUGCAAGUAUCGUAUGUAUAAGCAUCGGCUAACUCCGUG
rnacentral:rRNA from 1 species